ensembl:lncRNA
UGGGAUGCGUUUGGUUCAGGAAGGGUUUAAACACCAACAAUGCGUCUAUUCAUAGUCCGAAGCCUACGCAGGGGACGAGUGGCCUCUCGCCGUCAUAAAUCAUAACUCGCUUCAUUCUUCCAAACGUCUCGUCCAGGUCCUGGGUUAAAGCUGCUCUAGGUAAGUUUUAAGGGCUGUUGGAUUUAGACCAAUUCGUACAUACAGCCCCUUUAACCCUACGACGACGCCGCUCUGGUGAUGUCACCAUAAUUCCUACACCAGAGUUUUCCUAGAGCUGAUAUCGUUUAAUAAGAAACCAGAAACAGUCAAUUCCAUUUUCCUGUACCAAAGUGUCUUUUAAUUUCAUUGCUACAUUUCAGCAACUAAAAUGUCUACCUUUUUACAAGUCAAAAAACAAUAAAAGGAAUCAAUCGAAAGAGUAUAAAACAUUAGUCAAAUGGAUUCAGACUGGCCGACCUCCCAUCUCUGAGAAAUGUCAGACGAGCCAAAACUGGGCUAGGCAGAUCGACCAGACUUCGGAAUCAUAGUUUGAUUGGCUGGCAUCAGGAUCAGGCCGGUUGAGGACCUCAUCAACAGGCCGUGUGUCCCAGAAGACACGUCAGGCAGUCAGCGUCUUCCUGAUCCAACACCUUGUGUUUGGAAUGCUAAAGCUAAGUUGGAUCCAGGUUAGGAAUCAUGGAAGUGAGGUUAGCGUUCACCCUGCUCUUUGGCUUGUUCCCGUGAGUGUGUGCGUUUGCGUGUGUUAUACUUUAUUAUCCGAUCAUGGCACAGUGUACUUUGGCACUUUGAGUCUUGGUCUGUGAGGGGGAGGUCCUUAUUCGGUGGGCCGGUUCAAUCCUCCUCCUGGCCGGGGGGGGUCUUCUGGGACAGGAGGAACGUCUCCCACACGGCCAGACACUGCAACACAAGACAAGGCUGUUAGCAUGCAGGACUGUUCAACGGCAGGACUCUGUUAGCCUCAGGACUCUGUUAGCCUCCGGGACUCUGUUAGCCUGCAGGACUCUGUUAGCCUGCAGGACUCUGUUAGCCUCCAGGACUCUGUUAGCCUGCAGGACUCUGUUAGCCUGCAGGACUCUGUUAGCCUGCAGGACUCUGUUAGCCUGCAUCACUCUGUUAGCCUGCAUGACACUGUUAGCCUGCAUGACUCUGUUAGCCUGCAUGACUCCGUUAGCCUCCGGGACUCUGUUAGCCUGCAUGACUCUGUUAGCCUGCAUGACUCUGUUAGACCGAACCUCAGGACUAGGUUAGCCUGCACAGGCCUCUUGUGGUGCUUCUGCCCCCUGACGGCCUGCUUCUGGCCACUAUGCUGCCACUGGGCAGUAUGUCCUCUCUGACCUUCAUCUGAGCUGAAUACUGCUCCCUGGCCGAUGCCAUGAGUCUGGAACAUGAAGAAACGCUUGAUCAUACUUUAUCCACACUUUAGAAGGUCAUCUCAAGCCAGAUGGUUUGGGCUGCAUUUGAUCCAGUCAUUAGAGUCCGAUCAGAUCCUGACUGGAAUGAGUCCAUGAGACGCAUUGGGGAGCAAGGAUCAUCACUCUGAGUCUAGAUCAUGAAAUAGUGAGGGAUAAGAUGUUCUCUUUUCCUCUCUCCUUUUUUUACAUGAAUGAUCACAUAACAGGACUCUGAGGCAGACAGGUCUCUGAGGUCUCUGACACUGGCGCCUCCAACACAUCCCACACUUUAAGCGGUCAGAGGAACUGGCCUCAGGCCAGCUGAGCGUACGAGGAACCCAAGCGGUGAAUCAGAGGCUGUCAGAAUGGAAGGAGUGUCUCACAUGACCCCGCACGGCGCCCGCCCCAAAGCCCCAAGCGGGCGUCCGGGCGCACAGUGUGAGGCCCUGGUGACACCAUGUGACCCCAUGGGAGGAUCAGCUGAGGCAGAACGGGUGAACGCAACGUGACGGGUCUGGGCAUUGCACCUCCACGAGCCCUACGCUAAACUCGUUUUAAUAUAUCAGGGAAAGAUGUCUUUGUGAUGAAACAAAUUAACCAAGUGUGUUCAAAAUAUCCUCUCCACCAAGAGAAGGUGCACUAACACCAAGAAGCCAGUGGCUCCGUCAUGCUACCCCAAACAACAAUACCCAGUAGACGUAGGUUAAGAACCACGAUACAGUCCUGUAUGGAGUGUGAAGGAUGAGGUAUAUACAGGAUGAUCUGUAUCAGAGUGUAACGGCUGAGGUAAAUACAGGAUGAUCUGUAUCAGAGUGUAACGGAUGAGGUGUAUACAGGAUGAUCUGUAUCAGAGUGUAACGGAUGAGGUAUAUACAGGAUGAUCUGUAUCAGAGUGUAAAGGAUGAGGUAUAUACAGGAUGAUCUGUAUCAGAGUGUGAAGGAGGAGGUAUAUACAGGAUGAUCUGUAUCACAGUGUAACGGAUGAGGUGUAUACAGGAUGAUCUGUAUCAGAGUGUAAAGGAUGAGGUAUGUACAGGAGUGCAAAGGAUGCUGCUAUGUGCUUCUUUACUCAAAUCUUCCUUUUUCGUGGUUAGCUCACCCCUGAAAACCUUCGUUCGCACUCUGUUACAACGCGCAUUUGGAAGAAAAACCUUGAACGAUCACAGUACGACCUAUGGUAGAGAAAACUAACACACACACACACACACACACACACACACACACACACACACACACACACACACACACACACACACACACACACACACACACACACACACACACACACACACACACACAGUCUCUGGUCCAGUGCCGCCGCAUCUCUGUUGCUAGGGGGUAACCAUGGCGAUGUCUCUAGUUUUACUCCCUAAUGCAUCACACUAUUCAUAAAAGGGCAGAGCCACAGUGAAUGCUAAUGUCCAGACACGUUGUUCCUCUGCGCUAACCUUAAGCUAACCAAACCCUCCACCUCAGCAGCCCUUCCACUUACAGGAUGGCUGGGGGCCAAUCAGGGAGGAACAAGCUUUCCCCAAAACCUCUGCGCUAAGAAAAGAUAAUGAGAAAAUGUGUGUUUGGGUAUGGGCCUGCAGACAUGUUUGUCCACCUGCUCUGACUGUAGAAACAAGCAGACAGAUGCCUCUCAACUGUUUUGUCAGUCACAACACAACUCAGAGGUGAAGAAGACAUCGUUGAUGGUCACCCAUGUUGGUAAUAUCCUCCAUUCAUACCACAGUUGAACUGGAUUGAACUUCGAAUGCAUUUGUAUUCCAAGUCCUCUUGAGCUUACCCACUUACGCCAACUGACUCACUUACUGAAGAUACCGUCUUACUGCAUCAAAACAAAGUCUUCUGCCCGUCAAGAAGAUAUUAACAUAAUAUUUAGCAAAGGUUUUACAAAGUGAUGAUGAGGAUAGCUGGCUAGCAGCUCAACACCGUCUCCAACAAAUACACUCUUGGGUUCUAAUGACAUUUCUUUUUUGCCAGCCAUCUUUGGUUAAUUGGAUAUAAAAGAAUAAUAAGAGUCUUAAAAAGUAAUGAAUCAUAUUACAGAAUGCAUUGUCGAUAUAGAGAAGAUUUCCAUGCGAAAUGUGUGCAGACGUUAACAUCCUGCGAGACCAUGUGGUUAACCCGUCAACAUGACCGUCCAAUCCGGAGGCUGGAUAAUGAACCCUCAUUAACGCCCAAAGCCUGGAGCCGGUCCUAACGUUAACGCCGUGACCCCCUCCUCCUUCAGCCUCCACCCUGCUCCUCCUCCACCCGGCCCAUCCCCGGCCU